rnacentral:rRNA from 1 species
AAUCAACGCUGGCGGCGUGCCUAACACAUGCAAGUCGAACGCGAAAGUGGAGCAAUCCAUGAGUAGAGUGGCGAACGGGUGAGUAACACGUGGGUGACCUACCUUCGAGUGGGGGAUAACGUCCCGAAAGGGACGCUAAUACCGCAUAACAUCCUGCCUUUGAAGAGGUGGAGAUCAAAGCCGGGGAUCGCAAGACCUGGCGUUUGGAGAGGGGCCCGCGUCUGAUUAGCUAGUUGGGAGGUAACGGCCCACCAAGGCAACGAUCAGUAUCCGGCCUGAGAGGGCGGACGGACACACUGGGACUGAGACACGGCCAGACUCCUACGGGAGGCAGCAGUGGGGAAUUGUUCACAAUGGGCGCAAGCCUGAUGACGCAACGCCGCGUGGAGGAUGAAGGU